rnacentral:tmRNA from 1 species
GGGGGUGUCACGGUUUCGACUUGGGAAUGAAGUAUUAAUUGCAUGCAGAGGUUUAUCGGUUGGCCUCUUAAAAAGCCGAUAAAAACAUUAAUUGCCAAACAACAGUUUAGCAACAGUGGCAAAAUCGAAAGACCUAACUUUGGCAGCUAUGCUGUUAAUGUUAACGUUUCUCAAUUAGCGGCUGCUGCGGCUUAAGACCUAAUAGUCUUUCGCUGCACGUCAGUCUAAAACUUGACCAAGGGUUUUAGAGUCUGUCGAUAAGGUACUUGGUGUGAUUUUAGCUUCCGUCAGCUUCUAGGCGGCUAAGAUCGAGAUUAAUUGAAGCUAGCUUACCUUAGUGGCGUGUUCUGCAUCGAGGUGAGCCUAUUUCAGAACACUAAGCAUGUAGUGGUCAUUAUGUAGUUUGCUAAGGACGAGAGUUCAAUUCUCUCCACCUCCAACC